rnacentral:rRNA from 2 species
AGGUGCGAUCAUACCAGCACUAAUGCACCGGAUCCCAUCAGAACUUCGCGGUUAAGUAUGCUUGGGCGAGAGUAGUACUAGAAUGGUUGACCUCCUGGGAAGUCCUCUUGGUUCACCUC